ACGCGUAGUUGGAUGACGCCCAUUGUUCGAUAGCUAGUUGGCGGGUAACGGCCCACCAAGGCGACGAUCGAUAGCUGGUCUGAGAGGAUGAUCAGCCACACUGGAACUGAGACACGGUCCAGACCCCUACGGGAGGCAGCAGUAGGGAAUAUUGGACAAUGGGCGCAAGCCUGAUCCAGCCAUGCCGCGUGAGUGAAGAAGGCCCUCGGGUUGUAAAGCUCUUUUGUUGGGGAAGAAAAGCAGUUGGUUAAUACCCGAUUGUUCUGACGGUACCCAAAGAAUAAGCACCGGCUAACUUCGUG
rnacentral:rRNA from 1 species